GGGGCGUUCGACGGUUCGAAGCGAUGCCUGAGCAGCGUCGCUUGCGGGUUCGAUUCCCGCACGCUCCA
rnacentral:tRNA from 1 species